rnacentral:rRNA from 1 species
AGAAAAUAAUUUCUGCUCAGUGAUUUAAAUAGCCGCAGUAUUCUGACUGUGCUAAGGUAGCAUAAUGAUUUGUCCUAUAAUUGAGGGCUGGAAUGAAAGAACUGACAAUACUAUGUCUUUCCUGGAGAAGUAAAAUAGAACUUAAUAUUUGCUUCAAAAAGAGCAACUUUUUAAAAAGACGAUAAGACCCUAUAAAACUUUAUUAAUAAAAACUUUAAAAAUUUUGAAACCUUUCUACCUUUUUUAAUUAAGCUGGGGCGGCAUCUUAAACACAUAAGAAAAAUUAACAUAAUUUUAUGGUUUUCUAGAUCUCACCAAAGAGCUAGAACAAGUUACUUUAGGGAUAACAGCACAAUUUUCUCUUAUAGAUCUUAUAGAAGAGAAAGACUUGUGACCUCGAUGUUGAAUUGAGGAGCCUUGUUUAAGCAAAAAUAAACGUAAGGAGGU